UAAGGAAUAUUGGUCAAUGGACGCAAGUCUGAACCAGCCAUGCCGCGUGAAGGAUUAAGGUCCUCUGGAUUGUAAACUCUUUUAUCUGGGACGAAAAAAGGCGAUUCUUCGUCACUUGACGGUACCAGAUGAAUAAGCACCGGCUAACUCCGUGCCAGCAGCCGCGGUAAUACGGAGGGUGCAAGCGUUAUCCGGAUUCACUGGGUUUAAAGGGUGCGUAGGCGGGCAGGUAAGUCAGUGGGUGAAAAUCCCUAGAGCUUAACUCUAGAACUGCCAUUGAUACUAUCUGUCUUGAAUAUUGUGGAGGUAAGCGGAAUAUGUCAUGUAGCGGUGAAAUGCUUAGAUAUGACAUAGAACACCUAUUGCGAAGGCAGCUUACUACGCAUAUAUUGACGCUGA
rnacentral:rRNA from 1 species